UCUUAAGAGAGUUUGAUCCUAGCUCAGGAUGAAUGCUGGCGGCGUGGAUAAGGCAUGCAAGUCAAACGGAUUAUUUCCCGCAAGGGAGAUGAUCAGUGGCGAACGAGUUAGUAUUACCUUGGUACGUACCCUCGAGUCGGGCAUAAUUCAGCGAAAGUUGGACUAAUUCCCGAUAGUCUCGCAAGAGUAAAGUCGCAAGACGCUUGAGGAGCGGCCUCGGUCCUAUCAGCUAGUUGGCGGGGUAACGGCCCACCAAGGCUAUGACGGGUAGGGGGUGUGAGAGCACGGCCCCCAACGACGGAACUGAGAUACGGUCCGUACACCUACGGGUGGCAGCAGUCGAGAAUAUUCGACAAUGGGCGAAAGCCUGAUCGAGCGACGCCGCGUGCAGGAAGAAGGUCUUAGGAUUGUAAACUGCUUUUGCCAGGGAAGAAUUUUGACGGUACUUGGCGAAUAAGGGGUUGCUAACUCUGUGAUCCCAUCAGGGAUGGCGCAGAGCUCCUUCAGUAAUGAAGGAUAGGAAAAUUCAGCUUAUAUGCGGGAACAUUUUUCAU
rnacentral:ncRNA from 1 species